GAUGAACGCUAGCUACAGGCUUAACACAUGCAAGUCGAGGGGAAACGGCAUCGAAAGCUUGCUUUUGAUGGGCGUCGACCGGCGCACGGGUGAGUAACGCGUAUCCAACCUGCCCAUCACUUGGGAAUAACCUUGCGAAAGUAAGACUAAUGCCCAAUGACAUCCCACGAAGGCAUCCGAAUGGGAUUAAAGAUUUAUCGGUGAUGGAUGGGGAUGCGUCUGAUUAGCUUGUUGGCGGGGUGACGGCCCACCAAGGCAACGAUCAGUAGGGGUUCUGAGAGGAAGGGCCCGCACAUUGGAACUGAGACACGGGCCAAACUCCUACGGGAGGCAGCAGUGAGGAAUAUUGGUCAAUGGGCGAGAGCCUGAACCAGCCAAGUAGCGUGCAGGAUGACGGCCCUAUGGGUUGUAAACUGCUUUUAUAAGGGAAUAAAGUGGGUCACGUGUGACUUUUUGCAUGUACCUUAUGAAUAAGGACCGGCUAAUUCCGUG
rnacentral:rRNA from 1 species